UACGGGGGGGGCAAGCGUUGUUCGGAAUUACUGGGCGUAAAGGGCUCGUAGGUGGCCAACUAAGUCAGACGUGAAAUCCCUCAGCUUAACUGGGGAACUGCGUCUGAUACUGGAUGGCUUGAAUCCGGGAGAGGGAUGCAGAAUUCCAGGUGUAGCGGUGAAAUGCGUAGAUAUCUGGAGGAAUACCGGUGGCGAAGGCGGCAUCCUGGACCGGCAUUGACGCUGAGUGAGCGAAAGCUAGGGGAGCAAACGGG
rnacentral:rRNA from 1 species